GUGGAUUAGAUACCCUGGUAGUCCACGCCCUAAACGAUGUCAACUGGGUGUUGGGGAAGCGAUUUCCCAGUACCGUAGCUAACGCGUGAAGUUGACCGCCUGGGGAGUACGGCCGCAAGGUUAAAACUCAAAGGAAUUGACGGGGACCCGCACAAGCGGUGGAUGAUGUGGAUUAAUUCGAUGCAACGCGAACAACCUUACCUACCCUUGACAUGUCCGAGAGCCCGCUGAGAGGUGGGUGUGCCCGAAAGGGAAUCGGAACACAGGUGCUGCACGGUUGUCGACAACU
rnacentral:rRNA from 1 species